rnacentral:lncRNA from 1 species
UCUCUAGCUCUUGUUCUUUCUCUGACCCUUUCUCUAGCUCUUAUCUAUUCUUUUUGUUUUAUAAUUGUUUCUAGUUUAGAAGUUUAGAGUUACUUAAUACCUAGGUUUUCUAUUUUUUUCCAUUCAGCACCCCCCACUCUACUCAUCCCACCCCCUUAACUUAAUCUAACUCAAUAAUUAUAUCACUUCUAACUUAAUUUAUAAUUCUCAACUAAUUAAUAUCUGAUUAUGACUAUUAUGCCCUCAUAAAUAAAAUAAACACAAACAAUCACAUAAAUAAAAUAAUAAAUAAAUAUCAAUAAUCGAA